GGGCUGGGGGUUGCUGGGCUGGGGGGGUUGGGGAAGGGGCUCAGUUCACAGUUCUACUCUUCUGGGAAACAAAAAUAAUUAAAAAGACAGUCUAUCGAGUGUAUUUAUCUUUGGUACCAGCAAGCACCAGAAAAUGAGAGCAGAAUAGACCUGUUACUUUGAAAAGCCCUUGAAUACCCUUAGAAAAAAAGGAGCAAAACAGGCAAGCCAGAUCUCUAUCCCAAAGCUUCUGUGUUGCAGAUAAUCAGAGAGCAGCCUUCCUCCUGAACGCAGGCAGCGUGAGACCAGGCUGUUUCACUUCAAGGAACGCCGAGGCAGGCACCCCCUGACAGAAACGAAGAGUUUUUGAGAAAGGAAUGGAAACCAAAGAAUAUUUGAGGCUACAAGAUGGGCUGAGAAUGCGGAGGGAAUUCGCUGCCCGGCACAUUCUAACAUCAAAGCACCACUGUUUGCUUUGCAUACGCACUGAGCAAACGUGACAUCUGCACGUUUUUGCUGUGACAUAUCUUUCCUUUGCAACAAAACAAGACUCUGCUGCUCCACGGAACAAAGUACUUUAACAGAAUAAAGAAAAGGCAGUGAAAGGAAUAUUUGGCUGCAGGUUAACAUGGACCACUUUGAGAGUUCAGAAUGGAGAGAAAUCACUGGACACCAUGCAGCCCUCCCUUGACAAGCCUGUCCUCCUUCCAUGGCAAGCUCUGUCCCUUUAUCCUCCUGAGAAUGAAACCAGUAUGGAUCAAGGAGAGAGAGGGCAGUCCCUGAAGGCAAUCACAUCCCCAAUUGCCCACUUUCUGCUUGGGGAAAAAUUCAGGAAGGAAAAUGACAAGAGUACAGCAUAAAGCCAUAGUGUCUCUGCCACCUGAUCAGCCAACAGAUCAGAAAAAGUGGCCAGCAGCUUCUUUCACUGCCUACAUCUGAGGCAUGAGGUCGCAGAGCUGGAGAGACGCCAGAGAACUGUGCUGCAGCUACGCAUGUGCUCCACCAGCACCCUGCACUCAGCGGGGCUCCACUCACUGAAAUGGCAGCUCAGGACCACAUUCCUGCUCUUCACAGGACCCAGGAAAGGAAGAAACUGGAGACUAAUUGUGUGAAUUCUCCAGACAAAGGCAACACUAGCCAGCGUGGCAAGUGCUGCUUCAAGGUCAAAGACCAUUUACGCUGUGCUCCUCCCUGCAUGAGGGAAUAUUAGUCUCCUUUAGGUCCAGUUUGCUCACUUAGCCUUAAGCAAAAGGUUUAGGAUUAGGCCUAAAUGAGUUAUUUACACUAAGGAAUAACUCAUGGGUCAGGUUCAAGAAGAAGCAUUGGAAUAAGCAGUGCAAGACUGCCACAAAAUUGAAUAAACUCAAAUGUUACCAUAAUUUCUGGGAAGAA
rnacentral:lncRNA from 1 species